AUGUCCACCUCCUCCGCAGUCCCCUCCUCUGGCCUCAACUACAACACCUCAGAACCUCUCAGCCGGACGAACUAUGUUCUCUGGCGAGCCCAAGCACGAUCCCAGAUAUUGGGCGCCGGCUUGUUUGGCUACAUAGAUCAGACUAUAGAGGAGCCUCCAAAAACAACCAUCAGCAAAGAUAAAGAUGGCAAAGAUCAGGUAGUUCCCAACCCUGCUCAUAAACCUUGGCUUGUUCAAGAUUAG
rnacentral:rRNA from 1 species